rnacentral:rRNA from 1 species
CAGCAGCCACGGGAAAACGUAGGGGGCUAGCGUUGUUCGGAUUUACUGGGCGUAAAGCGCACGUAGGCGGAUCGAUCAGUCAGGGGUGAAAUCCUGGAGCUCAACUCCAGAACUGCCUUUGAUACUGUCGAUCUCGAGUCCGGAAGAGGUGAGUGGAACUCCUAGUGUAGAGGUGGAAUUCGUAGAUAUUAGGAAGAACACCAGUGGCGAAGGCGGCUCACUGGUCCGGUACUGACGCUGAGGUGCGAAAGCGUGGGGAGCAAACAGGAUUAGAUACCCCGGUAGUCCCUGUCUCUUAUAU